rnacentral:rRNA from 1 species
CCCAAUGAUGGAAAUUUAAUGGCCGCGGUAUAUUGACCGUGCGAAGGUAGCAUAAUAAUUUGUCUUUUAAUUGAGGACUAGUAUAAAUGGUCGAACAAAAAGUUAGCUGUCUCUGAGUUAUGUCUUGAAUUUAACAUUUAAGUGAAAAGGCUUAAAUAAUUUAAGGGGACGAUAAGACCCUAUAAAUCUUUAUAUUAAUUUGUUGUUAAAUUGGAAAGUAGAAUUAAUUCCGGGUUUAAUAAUUUUGAAUAUUUUGUUGGGGAGACAGAAGUGUAAAUAAAUAACUACUUUAAAAANAAAGUUAAUGAUAUUUAAUGAGGAGAUCCUUUACUAAGGAUUGUAGAANAAGUUACUUUAGGGAUAACAGCGUAAUUUCUUUUGAGAGUCCAUAUCGAAAAGGAAGCUUGCGACCUCGAUGUUGAAUUAAAGAUCCUAUAAUGGCGCAGAAGUUAUAAAA